rnacentral:misc_RNA from 1 species
AUGAAGAACGCAGCGAAAUGCGAUACGUAAUGUGAAUUGCAGAAUUCAGUGAAUCAUCGAAUCUUUGAACGCAUAUUGCGCUCUCUGGUAUUCCGGAGAGCAUGCUUGUUUGAGUAUCAGUAAACACCUCAACUCCCUUUUCUUUUUUGAAAUGGGAGCUGGACUUGAGUGAUCCCAACGCUUUUCUCACCGGAAAGUGGCGGGUUACUUGAAAUGCAGGUGCAGCUGGACUUUUCUCUGAGCUAUAAGCAUAUCUAUUUAGUCUGCCUAAAAACAGAUUAUUACCUUUGCUGCAGCUAACAUAAAGGAGAUUAGUUCUUGUGCUGACUGAUGCAGGAUUCACAGAGACAGCUUCGGCUGACUUUGUAAACUCGAUCUCAAAUCAAGUAAGACUACCCGCUGAACUUAAGCAUAUCAAUAAGCGGAGGA